rnacentral:rRNA from 1 species
UUAAAUUCUGAAAUGACUAUGGUUGAUAUGACUAGAAGAAAUAAAACUUCAGAAACUGCAGUUUACAGAAGUCUGAAGACUAUAACAACUUACAUGGACCGCUAUUACCUCGAUCCGAUAGUGUCGUUCAUACCUGGUGCCGGCUAUGUGGUAUCGCUGGCGUUCACGCUCCCAUAUCUUUAUAUAAGCACGCUGUGCAUGCGUUCGUUGCCGUUGACGCUGGCUGUAAUCUACAAUGUAGUGCUCGAUCAGCUUGUAGCAAUGAUGCCGUUCGGGGUGGGAGUGGUGCUCGAUGCCUUCAACCGUUCGUAUGUGAAGAACAGCCGUUUGGUCAUUGGUUUUGUUGAGGGCGACAGAAAAAUUAUAUCAGAAGUGAAUAAAAAAGCGCUUCUGACGCUGGUGAUGAUAUGCGUUUUGGUGGCUCUCAUAGUACUCAUGUUCUAUUUGUUGGGGCUUCUGGUGGCAAAAAUCGGAAGCAGAUUCGGUGUUGAGAAUGUAAAAGUUGUAGAAAAGAGCAUAAGCCGAUAGGUGGAUGCGUAGCGAAAGCGAGUGUUAAUAGCGCGUUAAGUUACAUGAAUUAGACCCGAAACCGAGUGAUCUAGCCAUGAACAGGUUGAAGGUUGGGUAACACCAACUGGAGGACCGGAUGGGUAAGCGUUGAAAAGCUUUCCAAUGAGCUGAGGGUAGGGGUGAAAGGCUAAUCAAACUCGGAGAUAGCUCGUACUCCCCGAAAUGCAUUUAGGUGCAGCCUCUUUAUAGUAUAUCGUGAGGUAGAGCGACUGAUUGGAUGCGAGGGCUUCACCGCCUAUCAAGUCCAGAUAAACUCCGAAUGCGCGAUAUAUAUUUACAGGGAGUGAGGGCGCGGGUGCUAAGGUCCGUGUCCGAGAGGAGAAGAAUCCAGACCACCGGCUAAGGCCCCCAAAUGAUCGUUGAGUUGAACUAACGAGGUCGGAUCGCAGAGACAGCUAGGAUGUUGGCUUGGAAGCAGCCAUUCAUUUAAAGAGUGCGUAACAGCUCACUAGUCGAGCGAUCUGGCGUGGAUAAUAAUCGGGCAUAAACGAUCUGCCGAAGCCGUGGAUGUCGUAAGACAUGGUAGGGGAGCAUUCCAUGCGGCGUCGAAGAUGAGGGAUGACCCUUGUUGGAGCGCAUGGAAAAGCAAAUGUAGGUAUGAGUAACGAUAAGGGGGGCGAGAAACCCCCCCGCCGAAAGACCAAGGUUUCCUGAUCAACGCUAAUCGGAUCAGGGUGAGUCGGGACCUAAGGCAAAGCCGAACGGCGCCGCCGAUGGAAGAAUGGGUUAAUAUUCCCAUACUGCCUCAUGGAGUGACGUGGAGACGGAGAAGUGACAGUCCUGCCGGCUGACGGAAUAGCCGGUUGAAGGGUGUAGAUAUUGAUUCCCGUAGGCAAAUCCGCGGGGAGAGUCGAACCUGACAGUAUACCGAGUACUUGUACGAGGUAAUAUGGACGUAACCAUGCUCCCAAGAAAAUCCGCUAAACUUAUCCAUGCGGCACCCGUACCGUAAACGGACACACGUGGUCGGGUUGAGAAUACUGAGGCGCUCGAGUGACUCACGGUUAAGGAACUAGGCAAAUUGACCCUGUAACUUCGGGAUAAAGGGUCCUCGUCGUAAGGCGAGGCGCAGAGAAUAGGUCCAGGCAACUGUUUAACAAAAACACAUGGCUGUGCUAAAUGGAAACAUGACGUAUACAGCCUGACACCUGCCCGGUGCUGGAAGGUUAAGAGGAGAUGUCAUCGCAAGAGAAGCAUUGAAUUGAAGCCCCAGUAAACGGCGGCCGUAACUAUAACGGUCCUAAGGUAGCGAAAUUCCUUGUCGGGUAAGUUCCGACCUGCACGAAUGGUGUAAUGAUCUGGACGCUGUCUCAACCGUGAGCUCAGUGAAAUUGUAGUAUCGGUGAAGAUGCCGAUUACCCGCGAUGGGACGAAAAGACCCCGUGAACCUUUACUAUAGCUUAACAUUGAAUUUGGGUAAUUGAUGUGUAGGAUAGGCCGGAGGCUUUGAAGCGGGCACGCCAGUGUCCGUGGAGCCGCUGUUGAAAUACGGCCCUUUGAUUAUUUGAGUUCUAACCCGUUGUUGCGGGGACACUGUUUGGUGGGUAGUUUGACUGGGGUGGUCGCCUCCAAAAGUGUAACGGAGGCUUCUAAAGGUGCCCUCACGACGAUUGGUAACCGUCGGCAGAGUGUAAUGGCAUAAGGGCGCUUGACUGGGAGACUUACAAGUCGAUCAGGUAGGAAACUAGAGCAUAGUGAUCCGGUGUUUCCGUAUGGAAGGGACAUCGCUCAAAGGAUAAAAGGUACUCCGGGGAUAACAGGCUGAUCCCUCCCAAGAGCUCAUAUCGACGGAGUGGUUUGGCACCUCGAUGUCGGCUCGUCACAUCCUGGGGCUGGAGAAGGUCCCA